CGAACGCUGGCGGCACGCCUAACACAUGCAAGUCGAGCGCGAAAGCUUUCUUCGGAAAGUUAUUAGAGCGGCGGACGGGUGAGUACAACGUGGGUAACGUGCCCAAAAGUGGGGAAUAACUGUUGGAAACGACAGCUAAUACCGCAUAAUAUCUUUUUUACAUAAGUAAGAAAGCUCAAAGGGGGCCUCUGUUUCAUGCUCUCGCUUUUGGAGCGGCCCGCGCCCUAUUAGUUAGUUGGUGAGGUAAUGGCUCACCAAGACUUCGAUGGGUAGCCGACCUGAGAGGGUGAUCGGCCACACUGGGACUGAGACACGGCCCAGACUCCUACGGGAGGCAGCAGUGAGGAAUUUUCCGCAAUGGACGAAAGUCUGACGGAGCGAUGCCGCGUGCGCGAUGAAGGCCCUCGGGUCGUAAAGCGCUGUCGGAGAGGAAUAAAGUCAAUCGGUUAAUACCCGGAUGGCCUGACGGUACUCUCCAAGGAAGCCCCGGCUAACUCC
rnacentral:rRNA from 1 species